UUUCCUACGGGUGGCUGCAGUGGGGAAUAUUGGACAAUGGGCGCAAGCCUGAUCCAGCCAUGCCGCGUGAGUGAUGAAGGCCCUAGGGUUGUAAAGCUCUUUCACCGGUGAAGAUAAUGACGGUAACCGGAGAAGAAGCCCCGGCUAACUUCGUGCCAGCAGCCGCGGUAAUACGAAGGGGGCUAGCGUUGUUCGGAUUUACUGGGCGUAAAGCGCACGUAGGCGGACUUUUAAGUCAGGGGUGAAAUCCCGGGGCUCAACCCCGGAACUGCCUUUGAUACUGGAAGUCUUGAGUAUGGAAGAGGUGAGUGGAAUUCCGAGUGUAGAGGUGAAAUUCGUAGAUAUUCGGAGGAACACCAGUGGCGAAGGCGGCUCACUGGUCCAUUACUGACGCUGAGGUGCGAAAGCGUGGGGAGCAAACAGGAUUAGAUACCCGUGUAGUCU
rnacentral:rRNA from 1 species